UUGGAGGGCAAGUCUGGUGCCAGCAGCCGCGGUAAUUCCAGCUCCAAUAGCGUAUAUUAAAGUUGUUGCAGUUAAAAAGCUCGUAGUUGAAUUUCGGGAUCAAGGAAUCGGUCAUGCCUCGGUAUGUACUGGUUUUAUUGGUUCUCACCUUCUAAAGAACCAUAAUGUCAUUCAUUUGAUGUUAUGGGGAAUUAGGACUGUUACCUUGAAAAAAUUAGAGUGUUUAAAGCAGGCUUACGCUUGAAUACAUUAGCAUGGAAUAAUGAAAUAGGACAUCAGAUUCUAUUUUGUUGGUUUCUAGGAUCGAUGUAAUGAUUAAUAGGGAUAGUUGGGGGCAUUAGUAUUCAAUUGUCAGAGGUGAAAUUCUUGGAUUUAUUGAAGACUAACUACUGCGAAAGCAUUUGCCAAGGAUGUUUUCAUUAAUCAAGAACGAAAGUUAGGGGAUCGAAGACGAUCAGAUACCGUCGUAGUCUUAACCAUAAACUAUGCCGACUAGGGAUCGGAUGAUGUUAAUUUUUUAAUGACUCAUUCGGCGCCUUACGGGAAAC
rnacentral:rRNA from 1 species